UUUUAGUUAGUUUAAUAUAAAACAUAAUUCUUCUAAAUUUAAAAUUUUUUACUAGUUUUUUAAGUUAUACAAUAAA
rnacentral:tRNA from 1 species